rnacentral:lncRNA from 1 species
UCUGAAUGUGAAGUACUUUCUUUUCUCUAAUUAAUCUUCUACUUCGUAUUAGCCACACUUUAACAACUAUUGUAAAACAUAGUUACCAAUACGGAACCAAGCAUUCAAGUCGAAGAACCAACUCUUUUGAUCUUUUUCACGAACAAUUUACAACACCUUCGAAAGGUGUGUUCUUGACACUUGCAAGACAUUUCUUGCAAAUACCCCUUCCAAUGUCCAUCCUUUCAUAAAGAAAGUUUGUUCCCUUGGAGUUUUUCGCCGUCUUCAUUUGACUUCUCCUUUGACUACAAUAGUCAUGGUUCCUAAACUCCCACUAUCUCUCUUGAAACUACACAUCAAACGAUUUGGAGAGUGUGCGGUUGAUGUUCACUAUAUAGUUUACAAUAAACUUAGUGAACCAUUUGGAUAGGGACACAAAGGUGAAGUCCUUGCCUAGUUUCCAUCUCUUGAAGUGGUUUAACACUUCAACACUUAAUGAUUCAAAAUCAUCAUAUGUCCAUGUUGAUGGACUAUUUUUGUCAAUCAAACAUUAUGUUCUAAACAUAAUUACAAACUUUCAAGAAUUGUUCAAGGCAACUCUCAUUUCUCAUACAAUAAUUUGUAAGUGAAGAAUCAUGGCACAUAACAUGUCCAUGCCCUUGUGCUUACUUCUCAAGUUCCUUGUUCAUUUAACAAAGAAACAAGCACUAGUGUUUGCGUUAAUUAAGGGUUGUUCAAAGCAACUCGUAUUUCUUCAUACAACGAUUUGUAAGUGAAGAAUUAUGACACUCUUUAUGGUAGACUUAUCUAACAUGUGCUUCCACUGAUACAUUAUCAAUAGGAAGAAUGUGAAAGUGAGACUACUUAGGUACAUAUACAAUCCAUUCAAGACAAUCU